AGUGAACGCUGGCGGUAGGCCUAACACAUGCAAGUCGAACGGCAGCACAGGAGAGCUUGCUCUCUGGGUGGCGAGUGGCGGACGGGUGAGGAAUACAUCGGAAUCUACUCUGUCGUGGGGGAUAACGUAGGGAAACUUACGCUAAUACCGCAUACGACCUACGGGUGAAAGCAGGGGACCUUCGGGCCUUGCGCGAUUGAAUGAGCCGAUGUCGGAUUAGCUAGUUGGCGGGGUAAAGGCCCACCAGGGCGACGAUCCGUAGCUGGUCUGAGAGGAUGAUCAGCCACACUGGAACUGAGACACGGUCCAGACUCCUACGGGAGGAAGCAGUGGGGAAUAUUGGACAAUGGGCGCAAGCCUGAUCCAGCCAUACCGCGUGGGUGAAGAAGGCCUUCGGGUUGUAAAGCCCUUUUGUUGGGAAAGAAAUCCAGCUGGCUAAUACCCGGUUGGGAUGACGGUACCCAAAGAAUAAGCACCGGCUAACUUCGUGCCAGCCGCCGACGUAA
rnacentral:rRNA from 1 species